UACGGAGGAUGCAAGCGUUAUCCGGAAUGAUUGGGCGUAAAGCGUCCGCAGGUGGCUGUGUAAGUCUGCUGUUAAAUAGUGAGGCUCAACCUCAUAAAGGCAGUGGAAACUACACGGCUAGAGUGCGUUCGGGGCAGAGGGAAUUCCUGGUGUAGCGGUGAAAUGCGUAGAGAUCAGGAGGAACACCCGUGGCGAAAGCGGCUCUCUGGGACGGUACUGACGCUGAGACGCGAAAGCGUGGGGAGCAAACAGG
rnacentral:rRNA from 1 species